rnacentral:rRNA from 1 species
UAUUUUCCUUGUGUGCCAGCCGCCGCGGUAAUACGUAUGGUGCAAGCGUUAUCCGGAUUUACUGGGUGUAAAGGGAGCGCAGGCGGUGCGGCAAGUCUGAUGUGAAAGCCCGGGGCUCAACCCCGGUACUGCAUUGGAAACUGUCGUACUAGAGUGUCGGAGGGGUAAGUGGAAUUCCUAGUGUAGCGGUGAAAUGCGUAGAUAUUAGGAGGAACACCAGUGGCGAAGGCGGCUUACUGGACGAUAACUGACGCUGAGGCUCGAAAGCGUGGGGAGCAAACAGG